CGGACUGGUUUAAGGCAGCUCCAGAUGAACCUGAUUGUGCAGAAAAGGAAGUUGCAAAAGCUCUUCCAGCAUUAUCCGGAA